rfam:Triticum aestivum genome assembly, contig: Triticum_aestivum_CS42_TGACv1_scaffold_307649_4AS
GUAGUAUUCCCUCCGUCCCAAAAUUCUUGUCUUACAUUUGUUUAGAUACGGAUGUAUCUAACACUAAAAUGUAACUAGAUACAUCCGUAUUUAGACAAAUUUAAGACAAGAAAUUUGGGACGGAGGGAGUACAAA